AGGAGCCGAGUGCGCUAAUCGUGCAUGCUCGGAUCUGUGGGGGGCCGGAUCGAGCAAUCGCCCGGUCUACCCGAC
rnacentral:misc_RNA from 1 species